rnacentral:misc_RNA from 1 species
ACGUUAAAAAGCUGUCCUCGCUAAGGAGAGACAUCUGUGAGCUCCAGCGAACCUUUGUCACCAAAGGUUACCUGGUGGGCAACCGCGAGCGUAGAUAGUUAUCACACUCGUGAUGCCACCAAACACUGGGAGGCUGAUUCAUUUGAGAGGAGCCGACCACAGGCCAGCAAAACCCCCAAGGUCCAAGCUCGUCACGGCAAACCAUGAGAGUUGAGGUGUUCAUGAUACUCAAACAGGCAUGCCCCUCGGAAUAUCCAAGGGGCGCAAGGUGCGUUCAAAGAUUCGAUGAUUCACUGAAUUCUGCAAUUCACAUUACUUAUCGCAUUUCGCUGCGUUCUUCAUCGAUGCGAGAGCCAAGAGAUCCGUUGCUGAAAGUUGUAUUGUGUUGCGUUAGACGCGGCAUACAUUCCAUAAGACUUUAUUACAGUGUGUGUGUGUUGAAAGACAUAGAACUACGGAAGGAAGACAGGGUCCCCCAGACCGUAAAACUACAGAGGGUGCACAGGUGUGAGUGGAUGUGUAAACAGAGCGUGCACAUGUCCCCAUUCGAGGACCAGCAACAGCCCGUUUGACAAUUCAGUAAUGAUCCUUCC